AGAUACCCUAUUAUACUGAUAAAUAAAUAGAAAUACCAGAUUAUUAAUAGAUAUAUUCUUGAAAUUUAAAGAAUUUGGCGGUGAUUUAGUCUAAUCAGAGGAACCUGUUNUUUAAUCGAUAAACCACGUAAAAUCUUGCUUAUUCUAUAAAUGAAGUUUGUAUACCAUCAUUAACAGAUAAUUUUUAGAGAAAAGAAUUAUUAAGGACAAAUAUAAUUUUAAUUGAUUAAAUUANAUCAAGGUGCAGCUUAUGAGUAAGUUGAAAUGGGUUACAAUAAAUUUUAUUUAUUAUGGAUAAUUAAUUGAAAGACAUUAAUUGGAAGGAGGAUUUGAUUGUAAUAUAAGUUUAAUAUGCUUAGGAGACAUGAGCUCUAAAUCAUGUACAUAUCGCCCGUCACUCUCAAA
rnacentral:rRNA from 1 species